GUUGGUGAACCAGCGGAGGGAUCAUUACAGAGUUCAUGCCCUUCGGGGUAGACCUCCCACCCUGUUUAUAUACUAUUGUUGCUUUGGCGGGUUGCCCUCACCAUGGGGCGUCCGGGUUCCGCCCGCGUCUCGCCUGCCAACAGCCCCUUAAUUCUGUGUUCUGUGUCGUCUGAGUACUAUAUAAUAAAGUUAAAACUUUCAACAACGGAUGUCUUGGUUCUGGCAUCGAUGAAGAUCGCAGCAUCUGACU
rnacentral:misc_RNA from 1 species